rnacentral:rRNA from 1 species
UACGUAGGGUGCAAGCGUUAAUCGGAAUUACUGGGCGUAAAGCGUGCGCAGGCGGUUUUGUAAGUUUGUCGUGAAAGCCCCGGGCUCAACCUGGGAAUUGCGAUGAAGACUGCAAGGCUGGAAUCUGGCAGAGGGGGGUAGAAUUCCACGUGUAGCAGUGAAAUGCGUAGAGAUGUGGAGGAACACCGAUGGCGAAGGCAGCCCCCUGGGUCAAGAUUGACGCUCAUGCACGAAAGCGUGGGGAGCAAACAGG